UUUAUAACACAGAUGUCGCUUUGCUUUUGUUAUUUUAUAAUAUUUAACCAAAUACAAAGUUAUAAAGCUGGCCUUGUGCUUUCUACUUUGUAGUGUGGAGUAUAAUAAAUUUUUCCAUCAAGUCUUUUAGCCUCUGGUUUUGAACAGGGGUUUACAUAAAAGUAUUGCAAUUGUUAAGGUCAUUUAGCCAAAAAUACCUUUUGAAAAUAACCCUCGGUGGACAUUAUUUUUACCGUUGGUGGGUAAACUGACACCACUCCAAUGUUAUUCAAAGUUAGUGUUUGAUCAAUAUCUGACUUUUGUCUUUCUCUGGAGAUAAAAAUCAUUCUUACUUUAGAAAACAAAAGAAAGCUGAUUUUAAAAGAACUCUUCUCUGUUGAGUAAACACAAUUGAGAAAAAAAUCUGUCCUUUAUGGAUAAGUGACUAACUCGUUCUAAAGUUAUAUUUUAUGAAAGUGAAACAAAACCAUUGAAUAGUAUUACAUUUUAAAGAUAUUAUUUAUUGAAAUAGUACAUUAUAUGAUGACAUUUUAUAGCUAGUUCAUAUUAUAUGAACCGCAUUAUAAUGUUCCAAAAGGGAGGGUGUCU